rnacentral:rRNA from 1 species
UACGAAGGGGGCUAGCGUUGUUCGGAAUUACUGGGCGUAAAGCGCACGUAGGCGGAUAUUUAAGUCAGGGGUGAAAUCCCAGAGCUCAACUCUGGAACUGCCUUUGAUACUGGGUAUCUCGAGUAUGGAAGAGGUGAGUGGAAUUCCGAGUGUAGAGGUGAAAUUCGUAGAUAUUCGGAGGAACACCAGUGGCGAAGGCGGCUCACUGGCCCGAUACUGACGCUGAGGUGCGAAAGCGUGGGGAGCAAACAGG